AAGUCGAACGGUAACGGGUUAAGCCGACGAGUGGCGGACGGGUGAGUAAUACAUGGGAAUCUGCCUGAUAGUGGGGGACAACCUAGGGAAACUUAGGCUAAUACCGCAUAAUCCCUAAGGGGGAAAGUAGGGGACCUUCGGGCCUUACGCUAACAGAUGAGCCCAUGUCGGAUUAGCUAGUUGGUAGGGUAAAAGCCUACCAAGGCUACGAUCCGUAGCUGGUCUGAGAGGACGACCAGCCACACUNNN
rnacentral:ncRNA from 1 species